CGUUAUAUUAUUUUCUUCAUUAAACGUCCAAGGGAACUGAUAUUUGUAAUGUUGGGAUAAUUAAUUCGUUAAAUAGGUUCAUUGACAUUGUGUCAAAAUGGCCUGGGUCAACACACAUGAUGCCUAUGUCUUCUACAGCUUUGGUUUGAACUUUGAAGACCUUUCCUUGAAGAAAACCACCUGGGAUACCUACUUGGCGACUCCGGCUAUCCGUUAAAAAAAUAUGUAUAAACGCCCUUGCUUAGGCCGACAACAGAUGCAGAGGUGAGAUACAACCAUGUUGUCAAGUUGUUUUGUUGUGGUUGAGAGGGCUUUUGGACUGUUGAGAGUAGAUUUAGGUGUCUACAUGAAACUGUAGGAUGUUUAUUCAUGAGACUUGAUGAGUGCGGUCAAGCAGUAGAUGCAUGAAUGUGCCUGCACAACUUAUGCAUAGAUCAGCAGGUACCACUGCCUGAACAACUUAUUGAGGCACAGGAAGUGGAUUAUGUUGUGCACGGUGCCCCACAACAGAACCAAAAUGCAGCACUUAUAGACAUCAUUAACUUAUUUAUGUAGGUGUUGUGUCAUGCUCACUUGUGCAUGAAGUGCUAUAGGUCAGCCAUUGUGGUUUGUCUAUGCCCGGCUUCAGCCUUAUCCACAUUUGACUCUAUAGUGAUGAUGGUCAUAAUGUUUCUGUUAAUAACAGUCUGCAAAACUAUGUUUUUUGGUUUUUUGUCUUCAUAGCCAAUGUGGCUAUUAAACUUUGAAAAUGUCAUAGCCAGAGGAAAGUUUUCAUAGCCAGAAUAAUUAAUUUACAGUGACAUUAUCAUGAAUGAACGACAACAGUCGUUAUAUAUAGAUUGCAAUUAGG